rnacentral:rRNA from 1 species
UGCAGUCGAACGCUCUCGACCUUCGGGUCAUAUGAGAGAGUGGCGAACGGGUGCGUAACACGUGAGAAACCUGCCCCAAAGACGGGAAUAGCCCGAGGAAACUCGGAUUAAUACCCGAUACCUUCACACAGCCGCAUGGUUGAGUGAAGAAAGUUCAGGCGCUUUGGGAGGGUCUCGCGGCCUAUCAGCUUGUUGGUGAGGUAACGGCUCACCAAGGCAUCGACGGGUAGCUGGUCUGAGAGGACGAUCAGCCACACUGGGACUGAGACACGGCCCAGACUCCUACGGGAGGCAGCAGUAGGGAAUCUUGCGCAAUGGGCGAAAGCCUGACGCAGCAACGCCGCGUGGGGGAUGAAUGCCUUCGGGUUGUAAACCCCUUUUAGCAGGGACGAAAAUGACGGUACCUGCAGAAGAAGCUCCGGCCAACUACGUGCCAGCAGCCGCGGUAAUACGUAGGGAGCGAGCGUUGUCCGGAAUUAUUGGGCGUAAAGAGCUCGUAGGCGGUUCAGUAAGUCGGGUGUGAAAACUCAAGGCUCAACCUUGAGACGCCACUCGAUACUGCUGUGACUUGAGUCCGGUAGAGGAGUGUGGAAUUCCUGGUGUAGCGGUGAAAUGCGCAGAUAUCAGGAGGAACACCAGCGGCGAAGGCGGCACUCUGGGCCGGUACUGACGCUGAGGAGCGAAAGCAUGGGGAGCAAACAGGAUUAGAUACCCUGGUAGUCCAUGCCGUAAACGUUGGGCACUAGGUAUGGGAUCAUAUCAACGGAUUCCGUGCCGUA